ensembl:lncRNA
AUGGGAACGUCACAAAAAUCCUCUUUGUUAAAUGUACAUGUAACUUGGAGACUGUAUUUUGCAGAUCCUGGGAUGGAGGACAUGCUGCUCGCUGAGGGGCAGGCAGAUGACAUCGGUGCUCACAAAGCAGACCUGGAGGAAGAGUAUGACACUGAAGACCAGGAAGUGGACACGGAGAAACAGCAGCCCAGCAAGAAAGGAAACUUAGAUCAAGAGGAAGAGGACCUGGCAGACUAUAACGGGGACGAUGAAAAUGAAGGGGAGUUUGAAGCCGACAAACAAGCUGCACUCGCUCAAAUAUAAAGUGUUGGCUGAUCUGAGUUGCAUAUUUGAUUGACCUGAAUGUUGAACCAAACUGGACACCUGUGAUGUGAGGCUGGGAUCUCUUUGACUGAUCCAACAUGUAGCUAAAUUCAUUGAACCAUACAACUACCGUAAUUUCCGGACUAUAAGCUUCUACUUUUUUCCCACCCUUUGAACUUUGCAGCUUAUAUAACGGUGCACCUAAUUUAUACAUUCUUAUGGUUAUACUGAAUAUUGUGUCAUGUGUCGCCCUAUCACUGUCUUCCUCCACCUCUAUCUGCGGUGUUUACUGUUUACCGGAGCGGAGGCAGCAGGAUGCCCUACCGCGCUGUAGCUAACGUGGCUUCGAGUUUAAUUCUCGCACCGCUGAAAUAUUAUGGAGGGUCCAGCGAUGCGCGGAUAUCAAAAGCCAGCUGUGAACGGUCACCGCGCACCCAGCUCAGAGCAGCUUCGAAAACCAGGAACUCCCGAGGCUGUGUGCGCAGACCGAGGAGGGCGGCUCUGAACACGGCCACACUCCUGAGUCGCUGUGCGGGCAGCGCUUUGGCUUCACUGAACACACGCGUGUUUAACCUCUUAACCCCCACCUGAACCGAGCACACUUUCCCCAGUUUGGCUUUGCCCAAAAAGCUUCUUGAAAAAAGCUACAAAAAACGUUUCAGAAAAGCACAACAAAAAAGUGACAGAAGAGUGACUCGAGGCGUUUUCACACAGGCUCUAGUUAGGUCGACUUAAAGGGACUUUCGGCCCGAGAGCGGCACUUUAGGGUCAGUGUGAAUCUUUACGCGGGUCUAAACAGCCGCUCCGACUGCGGCUGAAACAGGUGGUCUCGGAGCGGCGCAUCUCGCUCUCUGCGUCGGAGCGGUUGUGGUGUGAAUAUGACCGACCUCUGGUGAACUAUUCUCGCUUUGACGCCUCUUUUUUGCACGAAGAAAGAAUGACUACGCGCUACAUGAGGACGUUUGGAUUACUCUGACAAGGCAAAAUGGAUUAACUUUAAAUCAUCAAGGUACGCCUCUCUUUCCCGUCUUCCCCUUCCUGCUGCAUUGAAACUUUCCUCUCCAUGUGCUGAUUAAAUACAUUUCUCCGCGCUGCGCGUCUAUAAGCCUCAGUGUAUUUAACCAUGAGGGAGAGGAGUGACCACCGCGUAACAUCGGGGAAGUGUGCCUGUACGUGCACGCGUGUCGGUGUCGCCACAUUGACAGGUCGAUGCCCGUUGUCAUGGGAAUAAGUUCGUUGAACAGCUGAUCGUUGUUACGUGGCUGAUGUUGCGAUGUUUUGUGCGAGCGCGUGUGAACACGAGCUUAACUAACUUUGGAGUAAAUACAGUUGGAGCUAAGGCGGUCUCGAGGCGACCUACAAAGCUCCAACAUGUGUGAAAACGGCCUAAAACAUGCCAGAAAAGCAACAAUAACAUAUUAAAAAAGUGAUGAAAACAUGACAUCAUUUUCUCGUAGGAGAGGUGUGGUUUACGAUUGUCCAUAGCCGCUUAUUGGGCUCCACAAAUGUCUCAUACGUCUGCACGUAGCCAUAGCCCAUCGUAUCAGAUGACGUACCUGCUGUAAACUUUCGAGCUGCUGUCAUGUUGGCUCUUUAAAUAAACAUUUUUUUAUAUUUAUCCGUAAACAAACUACAAGCUUCCGUAUGUUGAAUAGCGCGUCAUCGUCUUGCCGUCCCUCCUCGUUCUGUGAUUGGUCCCCAAAUCCAUGCAAAGAUUUCGGCCAUGGUCCCAGAAUGCUGUGCAGUUUGAAAUGAUUCGAGCGCACACAGCAGCAUGGGGAUUUCCAGGCUAGCGGCUUAUAGACCAGUGCGGCCAAAAAAUAAACAGAAUUCUAUACAUUUUGUUGGUGCGGCUUAUAUUGCGCUCAACAGUCUGGAAUUUACGGUAGUUAUUCCGAACAAUCCAAAUUAGUUUGAUAAUCCAUGAGAUGCAUUUCGUUAACUCUAGCAUAUUCACUCCUUUUAAUGUUUACAUGGCUGUGGCCCAGUGCGUAUGUCCGAGAUCCGCUCUUCUUUACAUCUGCCAUAAGUUAAACGGUAUUUUAUAUUUUAUUUCAAUCAUUUGACAAGCAGGUUUUUUUUUUUAAUGAGUGUGCGUUACAUUGUUUUUAUUUUGGUUUAUGUAAAUGUGUACAUUUCUUUGGCAGACACUGUUCUUCAAGUUAUUUUUAUGAAUUAGUUUUAACAGAUGCCUUAUGGGGUAAAUAUUUGAGAUAAAUAAAAAAGGUUUUCAGAAAGUAGUCUGAAUUGAAGAUGUUUCGACUUUCACCUGGGAGGGUUCUUCAGCUCUGGGGUUCUUCAGAGGGAGGAGUGAGGUCUACCAUUGCCCUGCCCGGUUUAUCUCAACCAGUUUCAACUGUUGUGCUGAACUGGGGGUUAAACUCAGGGCCUCCUUCACACCUCUCCCUCGUAAACCACCGAUGGUCUUCAAAUCUGAAUAACCCAAUCCCCACAAACUACUUUCUGAGAAGUUUCGCUUUCAUGGACAACUGCUGGAUGAUUGAGAAGUUUCACAAAUAUAUCAGAAUCAUUUUCUAUGAUUAAUGUAAUGGUAAUAAAGUAGGAAAGUCUGUCCUGCUGAUUGUAAGUCAUUUGCUGUAUAAAAUGAAGGACCUUUCUGACAUGUGCAAUGCCAUUUUGUGGACGUCAAGUGUUUAGCUGCUGUGCUUGUGAUAUAUUUAAACUCGACUGAGGAGGUUUUGCUGGUAGCAUAUGUGCAACAAUAAGCGUGAGGUAUCAGGGACGUCCUUAGGGAUGGUGCAUUUACCUUGUGUAAAAACGUGUCCUGCUGGUACUGUUGACUCGAGACAAUUGUGAAGCUCGUACCACGUGGGGAAAAGCACCUUUGCACAAAACAACUUGUGCUGCCCUUGUGUGUUUCAAACGUAAAUGUAAUUUAGCAAGGGACAUGUUUCUGUACAUUUGAUUAUUUUUAGACUUGAUUUUAAAUUGUGUUUUUAUUGUGCAUCUAUAAUUUUAGACUAAAGCUUUGUCUAAAAUAUCUUGUCUUGCUCUGUGUAAACUUUGGGAAAAUUCUCAUUUUUAAUGAAAAAUAAACUUUUACUAUUAAGACGGUAAAUGUUUGUCUUUAUUACUCAAUGAAUAAAAGUAUAAGAAUAUGAUUAGGCGUCUUGUCGUGUGAUUGGAUUUGAAAUUAUGGCCAAUGGUUAUUUCAUUUCAGAUAUUGUUACACUGCAAUAAUAAACCGUCAACCUAUUUAAUAUACA